rnacentral:rRNA from 1 species
GACGAACGCUGGCGGCGUGCUUAACACAUGCAAGUCGAACGGAAAGGCCCUGCUUUUGUGGGGUGCUCGAGUGGCGAACGGGUGAGUAACACGUGAGUCACCUGCCCUGGACUUUGGGAUAACUUCAGGAAACUGGGGCUAAUACCGGAUAGGAGCUCCUGCUGCAUGGUGGGGGUUGGAAAGUUUCGGCGGUUGGGGAUGGACUGGCGGCUUAUCAGCUUGUUGGUGGGGUAGUGGCUUACCAAGGCUUUGAUGGGUAGCCGGCCUGAGAGCGUGAACAGCCACAUUGGGACUGAGAUACGGACCAGACUCCUACGGGAGGCAGCAGUGGGGAAUAUUGCACAAUGGGCGGAAGCCUGAUGCAGCAACGCCGCGUGCGGGAUGACGGCCUUCGGGUUGUAAACCGCUUUCGCCUGUGACGAAGCGUGAGUGACGGUAAUGGGUAAAGAAGCACCGGCUAACUACGUG